rnacentral:misc_RNA from 1 species
AACUUUUAGCAAUGGAUCACUUGGUUCUGGCAUCGUUGAAGAACGCAGCGAAAUGCGAUAAGUAAUGUGAAUUGUAGAAUUCAGUGAAUCAUCGAAUCUUUGAACGCACAUUGCGCCCUGUGGUAUUCCGCAGGGCAUGCCUGUUCGAGCGUCAUUUGACCACUCACGCCUAGCGUGGUAUUGGGGCACGCGGUCUCGCGGCCCUCAAAAUUAGUGGCGGCGCCGGUGGGCUCUAAGCGUAGUACAUACUCCCGCUAUAGAGUUUCCCCGGUGGCUCGCCAGAACCCCCCAAUUUUUUACAGGUUGACCUCGGAUCAGGUAGGGAUACCCGCUGAACUUAAGCAUAUCAAUAAGCGGAGGCU